GUGCCAGCAGCCGCGGUAAUACAGAGGUCUCAAGCGUUGUUCGGAUUCAUUGGGCGUAAAGGGUGCGUAGGCGGUGAGGUAAGUCUGGUGUGAAAUCCCGGAGCUCAACUCCGGAACUGCACUGGAUACUGCCUUACUUGAGCACUGGAGAGGGAACUGGAAUUUACGGUGUAGCAGUGAAAUGCGUAGAUAUCGUAAGGAAGACCAGUGGCGAAGGCGAGUUCCUGGACAGUUGCUGACGCUGAGGCACGAAGGCCAGGGGAGCAAACGGGAUUAGAAACCCUCGUAGUCC
rnacentral:rRNA from 1 species